AGCCAAUACCUCAGCACAAACCUGAAACUACAGAGCAUCAAGGACAGGGGUUGCAUUAGUUAGAAAGCGAUACGAGAAACUCUGAAAGGACAAAAAAACUAUUUGGCUUUGUUUCAAUAUAUUAAGCUAAGAAACGUAAAAUAAGUCCCAGCAUCCUGAGAAGCUGAUCUGAUGACAAAAUGAUAAAUGUACUAAUAAAAAAAUGGGUGUGGGCGAGAGAGAGAGGUCGAGAGCAGAUACAGGAUGCUUUAAAAUGGAUAUGCUGAAAAAUAUAUUUAAAAAAAAAAAAGACGAAAAGAAGGGAGGAUAAAAAUAGAAAACAGUGAAGAGAAGAGAACGCGCGAAUAAGUGGAGGAGGCCAGGGAAUAAAUAAAUAACAAAAAAAGUCAAUAGCUUAUAGGGUAAUCUUUUGUAACGAAAAAGAGAAAAGCAAGAAAAGGAAAAAAUAGGGAACGAGACACUUGGAGGGCAGAAGCAUUGGAAUGAAGAUAGAGCAAAAAAGACAAAGAGCCAGCGAAGGAAUAGGUACAACGAUUUAGCACAGACCGCUUCCUCGAAAGGAAGAGACACUACUUAAUUCAGAUAGGGGAAUAGUGUGGGAUAGGGGGAGGUCAAAAGGGGUAACCAGAGCUUUCCUGACGAACGAAAAUGGUGUUAGAUUUCUAAAUAGCGCUGGAAGGGAGGUAGGUAUAUGUGAGGUGAAAUGUUAUGUAGGGCAAGCAAAGUAGUUGGUCAUAAGAGGUAAAAGGAAAAUCCGGGUUGAAGCGAAACAGGGGGUG
rnacentral:sRNA from 1 species